CGUCCGCGCGCACUUACGGUUAUUCAAACAAAAAAAAGAAAUAAUACCCUUACCGUUUAAAAUCUCUGAUUUUGUCAUGUAGUCCUACAUAAAAGCUGUGACCCAUGCUUUGACAGCUGUAUUCAUCAACAGAAUUAUGUGGUACGCAGGAAGUUCCUUACCUCAACACAGGUGGCAGUAAGGCUCUUGCGGACGGGACAACUGCUGUUCGUACCUGCUUUUGAUGGGACAGUGGAUUUGAUCAUACACCGCUGAAAACUGCAGAAGAGUAAGACUGUCUGUAGGUUCCCAAGAACCGGACUGGGAAACACUGGUUUACAAUAUUGUCUAGAGCACUGGUUUCCAUACCUCAACCCAGUCAAAGAUCUGCUCAUCACUUGCCCCAUCCUCCAAGAGGAGCUUCUCCAGGUGCUCACUGAUCUCUUCUGGGGAGAGGGCUGUCUUGGAGAGGGUGGUGGCCAGAUUCAAAAAGCCUGGAGUGGUGAAUUCCAGUUUCUGUGGGAGCACAAGUUGUUCAAAGGAAAUCACUCCAACUCAACCCAGACUCCCUCCAUAAGGCCGCGACUUUUCUAUGGCUCUGUGACACAAAAGAGGAUUCCCCAAGAGUCCCGCACACCCAAGGUUUGGCUUCAGAACAAACCAGAGCUUGCCACUUUAACCAGUCACAACCAACCAAAAGAGUGGAAGAAGAAAUUUGCUUAAUUCACUGCAGACACACAGGGAAAAACAAGAAUAUACUUAACAUUUGAUGUGUUAGCCAGCCAGCUGAGUUCUUUUGUACUUUGCAUUUUCACCUGAGUGGAAUCACUUUUAACAAAAAACUCCAAAGUAUCAAAAUAAAAAGUGAGAUAAACAGAAAUUGGCAUGAAAAAGAACAGCAUCAAGGUAUCAAGGUUCACUUUUAAGUUUGUUUGUGCUUUUUGUUGUGAGAUUUUGAGUGGUGCACUGCAAGCUGACUUAAGGUAUGGCGUCAGACAAAUUCAAGGACAAAAGUAUGAAAACCAUUUUCUUAACUAGCUGGCAAAAAUACUCCAGUUUAGGAGUAAAGUUGUGUCAUAGUAUCAUUAUCUUCAUGUUAUUCUGCAACUCACAUUGAAAAUCUGUUUCUGUGACAAAACCAAUACCAAGAAUGUGACUGUAA